rnacentral:rRNA from 1 species
GGCGGACGGGUGAGUAAUGCUUGGGAAUAUGCCUUAUGGUGGGGGACAACAGUUGGAAACGACUGCUAAUACCGCAUGAUGUCUACGGACCAAAGUGGGGGACCUUCGGGCCUCACGCCAUAAGAUUAGCCCAAGUGGGAUUAGCUAGUUGGUGAGGUAAUGGCUCACCAAGGCGACGAUCCCUAGCUGGUUUGAGAGGAUGAUCAGCCACACUGGGACUGAGACACGGCCCAGACUCCUACGGGAGGCAGCAGUGGGGAAUAUUGCACAAUGGGCGCAAGCCUGAUGCAGCCAUGCCGCGUGUGUGAAGAAGGCCUUCGGGUUGUAAAGCACUUUCAGUAAGGAGGAAAGGUUAAGUGUUAAUAGCACUUAGCUGUGACGUUACUUACAGAAGAAGCACCGGCUAACUCCGUACCAGCAGCCGCGGUAAUACGGAGGGUGCGAGCGUUAAUCGGAAUUACUGGGCGUAAAGCGUAC